AGCAUUUUUUGUGCAUUUUUGUUCAAUUGGUGAACAAACAUGUGAAAGACAGGUGCAAAAAUAAAUCCUCAUUUGCAGCCCACAGCUCAUUGUUCAGUGUAAGUUUUGAUACAUAUAAGAAAGAAUAUG
ensembl:snoRNA